AGGUGCAGCUUUCCUGACGACUGUCGCCUCUGCCGGGAUGAUUGCAGGAUUUGGCUCAACGUUUGCAAGGAUCAGAUGGUGACAGGGGUCUCAGCAGGGUCAGUCAACCAGGGAAGACUAGUGCGUGACGGCACUGAGGGAACGAUGGCCACCCCUGCAGUACCAGAGACAGGGGCGUUCCUGGCUCUCCGGGCCCAGGGCUGGGGCUCGCUCUACACCUGGUGUGGAGUGGACUUGCUCAGCAACGCAGUCUGGAAAGCCAUGGGGUCCAUAGUGUAACAGAUCAGGCAGAUGAUGCAGUCCGUUUUCCCGGCUAUUAAAAAAACCCGAAGGAUCAGCCAACUCAAGAGGAAUGGGACACCAUGUUCCAGUCUAAAGAGGACUGAAGGUCGAGACUAUAUUCUCACCCUGGCUGAGAGCAGCAUUAAUAAGUCACUGCGGGACUUAACCACUACUGUGGGAUGGGCAGUCAGUUGGUCACUGUGCUGAGAAGGAAAUUAACUUGGCGUCCACAAUGCGUGGUCCAGCCACUCUUCACUGAUGCUCAUCUGAGGCCUAUGAAGAGAGCACCCCUUGCCUGAAGGAGGAAUUAUGAAACAAAUUACUGUUGGACUGAGGCAUCACGGUUAAUUUAAACUCCCUUGGAUAAUCUUAAUUUCUGAUCAGAGGUUUACUAUGUAAAACCACAGGAGCCCUGGACUGUCUUGUACUGUACAGUUAGCCUAAACACCAAUCUGUUUGUGCUCGUUGUCAAGCCAUAUUGUUGCUAUGACGAGUAUCACGUAGUUUCCAUAAGACCGGUACUAAGGCUAGUACAGUAGUCCUCGGCAGCGACUGCGUUCUCAUUUGUGUAGUGCUUGAACAGAUCUUGAAUCUACUCACUGUGCUUUGUCAUGAAGGCCACAAGAUGGAUUGUCUUAAAUCUGUAUAUGAUCGGAUUUCUUUGUCAAUCAAAAUGUAUUUCACACUAUUUGUUCUGCGAAAGAGUAAAAAGCUAAAUGUGUUUGCUAUUCUGAAGACAGUGAAAGAUGUGCAGCUGAAUGUGAGGUGCCUGGUUUCUCUUCCACAGAUUGAAACAUCAUUCAAUGUAACACCUAAGCGUUUACCGUCAGCUAUUCCCAUAAAAGACGAGUAUAAAAAUGAGAACAAACCUGAACCAUCUUAAACUGGGCCCGGCUAGCCAUAUAACAAGUAUAAAAAUGAGAACAAACCUGAACCAUCUUAAACUGGGCCCGGCUAGCCAUAUAACAAGUAUAAAAAUGAGAACAAACCUGAACCCUUAAACUGGGCCCGGCUAGCCAUAUAACAAGUAUAAAAAUGAGAACAAACCUGAACCAUCUUAAACUGGGCCCGGCUAGCCAUAUAACAAGUAUAAAAAUGAGAACAAACCUGAACCAUCUUAAACUGGGCCCGGCUAGCCAUAUAACAAGUAUAAAAAUGAGAACAAACCUGAACCAUCUUAAACUGGGCCCGGCUAGCCAUAUAACAAGUAUAAAAAUGAGAACAAACCUGAACCAUCUUAAACUGGGCCCGGCUAGCCAUAUAACAAGUAUAAAAAUGAGAACAAACCUGAACCAUCUUAAACUGGGCCCGGCUAGCCAUAUAACAAGGACUGUGUAAAAAGCUUGUGACAGCUGUCCCUGAUGUUUUCCUACACAUUUAGCCCACAUAAUCAAGUUGAAAGAGCAUGUCAUGCAAACGUUGAUGCCACAGCUGUGGCAUUUCUGUCAUGCAUAGAAUUCCUUCUCUGUGCCAAACUACUACGGUACUCAUCUUCAGUCUGAUUGGUUGCAGUUAUGAAAUAUAACAUGCCAUGUAAGCAAGAGCGAAGCGACUUUCAGUCACGCGUGCAUACAACCACAGCCAUACGAAAACACUUUGGCCAUAUUCUGCCGCAGGCCUCCUGUUCACAAUGUCUGGACAGAAGAAUCAAAAACACCUUCAGUGCUCAACCAAAAUCCAUGUACGUUUAUUCUUAACAUGUGGAACAUAGAAUAAAGAUUUUAUACUGAAUAAACAAUGUAAAGUUGAUCAAAUGAAAGGGGGAGAAGUACCCUAUAUGUAGAGUAAAAAACAACAACACUUAACUGUCAAUCAGGCAUGUUAUACAACAUUGUUAUUCUGGAAUACAGUUCUGCUCAUCAUGGUCUGCUAGCUGUCUGUACAAUCUAAAUACGCUCCUCUUUUCAGAACCAAAACUAGAGCGGUCUCAUCCCUAUAUGUCCUUAGACCUGUCCCAGUCAGAAUAUAUAUAUAUAUUUUUUAAAUACAUAAAAUGACUAACCUCAUUUGAAGUGAGUAACUAAAUAUCCAGUAUUCAAAUGAGCAGUAAUAAUAAUUCUAAAGGUCAUUAUAAUUAUCAACUACCAUCACUUAUCUAUACCACAUGUCUUGGCGAAGAUACCAAAUAGGGCUGUCAAUGUACAUCUUCUAUAUACAAAUGGGCUUAUAGAUAGAAAAGGAGAUAAGGACUGAUGAAGUACUGUGUUGCUAUGGUUACCAGUAAGUCAGUUGAACAGGGUGUCUUGUUUCGUCCCUGUUAUACUGGUAUGGUAAAAAUAUUAUGAUGCAAUACUUGUGGUCAGUUGCCUGUGGUUGAAAGUCAUUCACAUUUGUUAAACCCCCCCCCCCCCAACAAGCCUACUAAAUCCUAUUGCACAAUAGGGCACCCCCCCAGAACAGGAUAUAUGAUGUACUGUUAUAUAUUCAGAGUAAAGUCAGUGGUUUUUUCUUUACCUUAAUACACGAUAAAGAGGUCUAUCUACAACAUGAUUCACAAUUUAAAUAAGUCUGCUUCCCCCUGCAAAAAACACCAACAAAAAGAUCCCAUACAGACAAACAGCCACAUACAAAUAAAAUGUAAGCACGAGACCCCAAAACUAAAGUACGUUACCUUUCAUUGGGUGCCAACUUUGGUUAAAACAAAAACGAAGCGACAAAUAAAAAUAUACUUUUUUAAAAAUACCAAGUAUUAAAUAUUUUAUUAAAAUUAUUAAAAAAUUCCAAAUAAAAGGUUGUGAUUUGGGCAGAGGAGCUAUAUAUAUAUAUUUAUUUGUAAAAAAAAGGAAAAAAAAA